GAUGAACGCUAGCGGCAGGCUUAAUACAUGCAAGUCGAACGGUAAUCCCGACAGCAAUGUCGGGACAAGAGUGACGUACGGGUGCGUAACACGUAUGCAACCUACCUUGUACAGGAGGAUAGCUCGGGGAAACCCGGAUUAACCCUCCAUGAGAUCCCGAAACGGCAUCGUUUCGGGAUUAAAACUCCGGUGGUACAAGAUGGGCAUGCGUCUGAUUAGUUAGUUGG
rnacentral:rRNA from 1 species